UACGUAGGGGGCAAGCGUUGUCCGGAUUUACUGGGCGUAAAGAGCGUGUAGGCGGCCAAACAGGUCCGUUGUCGAAAACUGGAGGCUCAACCUCCAGCUGCGACGGAACGUGUCGGCUAGAGUCCGGAAGAGGAGAGUGGAAUUCCUGGUGUAGCGGUGAAAUGCGCAGAUAUCAGGAAGAACACCAAUGGCGAAGGCAGCUCUCUGGGACGGUACUGACGCUGAGACGCGAAAGCGUGGGGAGCGAACAGG
rnacentral:rRNA from 1 species